AUUGGUUGACGAGUCCUAAAUAGGACGAAACGCGCGUUUAACUGGAU
rnacentral:hammerhead_ribozyme from 1 species